CCUACGGGAGGCGCCGUGGGGAAUCUUGCGCAAUGGGCUAAACCCUGGCGCACCGACGCCGCGUGAGUGAUGAGGGGUUUCGGCUCGUAAAACACUGGUGUUAGACAACAAUGACAUUGAGAGUAACUGUGCAAUGUGUGAUUGUAUCUUACCCCAAACGAACGGCUCAAUACGUACCAUCAACCGCAGUAAUA
rnacentral:rRNA from 1 species